CGGCGGACGGGUGAGUAACACGUGGAUAACCUACCUAUAAGACUGGGAUAACUUCGGGAACCGGAAGCUAAUACCGGAUAAUAUAUUGAACCGCAUGGUUCAAUAGUGAAAGACGGUUUUGCUGUCACUUAUAGAUGGAUCCGCGCCACAUUAGCUAGUUGGUAAGGUAACGGCUUACCAAGGCAACGAUGCGUAGCCGACCUGAGAGGGUGAUCGGCCACACUGGAACUGAGACACGGUCCAG
rnacentral:rRNA from 1 species